UACAGAGGGUGCGAGCGUUAAUCCGAAUUACUGGGCGUAAAGCGUGCGCAGGCGGUUAGACAAGACAGGCGUGAAAUCCCCGGGCUUAACCUGGGAAUGGAGUCUGUGACUGUAUAGCUAGAGUGUGUCAGAGGGGGGUGGAAUUCCACGUGUAGCAGUGAAAUGCGUAGAUAUCGGGAGGAACAUCAGUGGCGAAGGCGGUUUUCUGGGACAUUACUGACGUUGAGAAGCGACAGCUAGGGGAGCAAACAGG
rnacentral:misc_RNA from 1 species